CGGCCGCGUCCCGCGCGCUCG
rnacentral:misc_RNA from 1 species